rnacentral:lncRNA from 1 species
ACAAACAUUCAUUUCAUAAAACCCUUAUUCAAGGUAAAAAUAAUACAACUCAUCAAAGGUAAAAUCAACCAACACACGCACACACACACAUAUUUUCUACUCCAAACUACGGAGCUCUGAUUCCUCAUCCCCGAAUGAGUGAUAUGUAGGCACAAGGACCCCAAUCCUUGCCGAGCACUAUAAUAACAAAAACACCCUUUUU